GGGGGCGUUUUGGCUUCGACGGGGGUAAGAUGGGUUUGAUAAGCGAGCCGAGGCAAGCAUGUCACCUCGAUAAUAAAGUAUGCAUUAAAUAUAAACGCAGAAGACAAUUUUGCAUUAGCAGCUUAAUUUAACGCUGCUCAUCAGCCCUGUGUGCCCACGCAUAGGAUUACUGGUGUCAUUAAAGUGGGGAACGAAGUUUAGCAAAGCUUUGAGCUAAAGGGGUAUUUAUGAAGCUAGGGAAUCAGGAGUUUGUUUGUGAGCGAACUGAGGACCGAAAUUUUAGUCACAAACUACGCUCGUAGAAAGUCAGACUGGUCUGCUUUCGGACAUGGGUUCGACACCCAUCGCCUCCACCA
rfam:Clostridium sp. CAG:221 genomic scaffold, scf85